CUACGGGGGGCUCCAGUGGGGAAUAUUGCACAAUGGACGAAAGUCUGAUGCAGCAACGCCGCGUGGAGGAUGACACAUUUCGGUGCGUAAACUCCUUUUAUAUAGGAAGAUAAUGACGGUACUAUAUGAAUAAGCGCCGGCUAACUCCGUGCCAGCAGCCGCGGUAAUACGGAGGGCGCAAGCGUUACUCGGAAUCACUGGGCGUAAAGAGCGUGUAGGCGGAUAGAUAAGUCAGGAGUGAAAUCCUAUGGCUCAACCAUAGAACUGCCCUUGAAACUGUCUAUCUAGAAUAUGGGAGAGGUAGAUGGAAUUUCUGGUGUAGGGGUAAAAUCCGUAGAGAUCAGAAGGAAUACCGAUUGCGAAGGCGAUCUACUGGAACAUUAUUGACGCUGAGACGCGAAAGCGUGGGGAGCAAAUAGGAUUAGAUACCCGAGUAGUC
rnacentral:rRNA from 1 species